rnacentral:sRNA from 1 species
UUGGGCUUCAACAACCUGUCCAUGAUGGAAGGUGAUUAAUUUCUCGCUGAUUUUCAGGAGCUAUUUAACUAUGCGUA